rnacentral:miRNA from 1 species
UGAGGUAGUAGGUUGUAUAGGA